UACGUAGGGGGCAAGCGUUGUCCGGAAUCAUUGGGCGUAAAGCGUGCGUAGGUGGUUUGUUAAGUCUGUUGUGAAAGCCCCGGGCUCAACCUGGGAAUGGCAAUGGAUACUGGCAAGCUAGAGUGCGGUAGAGGGUAGUGGAAUUCCCGGUGUAGCGGUGAAAUGCGUAGAGAUCGGGAGGAACACCAGUGGCGAAGGCGGCUACCUGGACCAGCACUGACACUGAGGCACGAAAGCGUGGGGAGCAAACAGG
rnacentral:rRNA from 1 species